rnacentral:rRNA from 1 species
UACGGAGGGUGCGAGCGUUGUCCGGAAUCACUGGGCGUAAAGCGUGCGUAGACGGUUACAUAAGUCGGGUGUGAAAGCCCCGGGCUCAACCUGGGAAUUGCAUUCGAGACUGCGUAGCUAGGGUGCGGAAGAGGGAAGCGGAAUUUCCGGUGUAGCGGUGAAAUGCGUAGAUAUCGGAAGGAACACCAGUGGCGAAAGCGGCUUCCUGGUCCAGCACCGACGUUCAGGCACGAAAGCGUGGGGAGCAAACAGG